UACGAGGGGGGCGAGCGUUGUUCGGAAUUAUUGGGCGUAAAGGGUGCGUAGGCGGUUUGGUAAGUCUUUUGUGAAAUCUCUGGGCUCAACUCAGAGUCUGCAAGGGAAACUGCCGGGCUGGAGUGUGGGAGAGGUGAGUGGAAUUUCCGGUGUAGCGGUGAAAUGCGUAGAUAUCGGAAGGAACACCUGUGGCGAAAGCGGCUCACUGGACCACAACUGACGCUGAUGCACGAAAGCUAGGGGAGCAAACAGG
rnacentral:rRNA from 1 species